rnacentral:rRNA from 1 species
GUGAGGAAUUUUGCGCAAUGGCCGCAAGGCUGACGCAGCAACGCCGCGUGGGUGAUGAAGGCCUUCGGGUCGUAAAGCCCUGUCAGGUGGGAAGAAAGGCUUGGAGAAGCAACGCUUUGAGUUUGACGGUACCACCAGAGGAAGCACCGGCUAACUCCGUGCCAGCAGCCGCGGUAAUACGGAGGGUGCGAGCGUUAUUCGGAAUUACUGGGCGUAAAGCGCGUGUAGGCGGGGAUGCAAGUCUGAUGUGAAAGCCCUGGGCUUAACCUGGGAAGUGCAUUGGAAACUGCAUUUCUUGAGUACUGGAGAGGAAGGGGGAAUUCCCGGUGUAGAGGUGAAAUUCGUAGAGAUCGGGAGGAAUACCAGUGGCGUAGGCGCCCUUCUGGACGGUAACUGACGCUGAGACGCGAAAGCGUGGGGAGCAAACAGGAUUAGAAACCCUUGUAGUAC